CCUACGGGAGGCAGCAGUGGGGAAUUUUCCGCAAUGGGCGAGAGCCUGACGGAGCAAUACCGCGUGAGGGAUGACUGCCUAUGGGUUGUAAACCUCUUUUCUCAGGGAGGAAAUCAAUGACGUUACCUGAGGAAUAAGCAUCGGCUAACUCCGUGCCAGCAGCCGCGGUAAGACGGAGGAUGCAAGUGUUAUCCGGAAUCACUGGGCGUAAAGCGUCUGUAGGUGGCUUAACAAGUCAACUGUUAAAUCUUGAAGCUCAACUUCGAAAUCGCAGUCGAAACUGUUAGGCUAGAGUAUAGUAGGGGUAAAGGGAAUUUCCAGUGGAGCGGUGAAAUGCGUAGAGAUUGGGAAGAACACCGAUGGCGAAGGCACUUUACUGGGCUAUUACUGACACUCAGAGACGAAAGCUAGGGUAGCAAAUGGGAUUAGAUACCCCAGUAGUCCUAGCCGUAAACAAUGGAUACUAGAUGUUGGGCAGAUCGACCUGUUCAGUAUCAAAGCUAACGCGUUAAGUAUCCCGCCUGGGAAGUAUGCGCGCAAGCGUGAAACUCAAAGGAAUUGACGG
rnacentral:rRNA from 1 species